rnacentral:rRNA from 1 species
UGGGGAAUAUUGGACAAUGGGCGAAAGCCUGAUCCAGCAACGCCGCGUGAGGGAUGACGGCCUUCGGGUUGUAAACCUCUUUCAGCAGGGACGAAGCGCAAGUGACGGUACCUGCAGAAGAAGCACCGGCCAACUACGUGCCAGCAGCCGCGGUAAUACGUAGGGUGCGAGCGUUGUCCGGAAUUAUUGGGCGUAAAGGGCUCGUAGGCGGUUUGUCGCGUCAGGAGUGAAAACUCGGGGCUUAACCCCGAGCCUGCUUCUGAUACGGGCAGACUAGAGGUAUGCAGGGGAGAACGGAAUUCCUGGUGUAGCGGUGAAAUGCGCAGAUAUCAGGAGGAACACCGGUGGCGAAGGCGGUUCUCUGGGCAUUACCUGACGCUGAGGAGCGAAAGUGUGGGGAGCGAACAGGAUUAGAUACCCUGGUAGUCCACACCGUAAACGUUGGGCGCUAGGUGUGGGACUCAUUCCACGAGUUCCGUGCCGCUGCU